UCCGUUUUGUCAACGGCAGUCUCAUUAGAGUGCCCGGCCGAACCGCUGGCAACUAAUGAUAAGGGUUGCGCUCGUUGCGGGACUUAACCCAACAUCUCACGACACGAGCUGACGACAGCCAUGCAGCACCUGUGCAGGAUCUCCGAAGAGGGGCUCUCGUUUCUGAGAGCUUGCUCCUGCAUGUCAAGCCUAGGUAAGGUUCUUCGCGUUGCGUCGAAUUAAACCACAUGCUCCACCGCUUGUGCGGGCCCCCGUCAAUUCCUUUGAGUUUCACCCUUGCGAGCGUACUCCCCAGGUGGGUCACUUAAUGCGUUAGCUACGCCACAAAAGGGGUCGAUUCCUUUUACAGCAAACGUGCACCGUUUACGGCUAGGACUAC
rnacentral:misc_RNA from 1 species